rnacentral:rRNA from 1 species
GACGAACGCUGGCGGCGUGCUUAACACAUGCAAGUCGAACGGAAAGGCCCUGCUUGCAGGGUACUCGAGUGGCGAACGGGUGAGUAACACGUGGGUGAUCUGCCCUGCACUUCGGGAUAAGCCUGGGAAACUGGGUCUAAUACCGGAUAGGAGCCAUCUUUAGUGUGAUGGUUGGAAAGUUUUUUCGGUGUAGGAUGAGCUCGCGGCCUAUCAGCUUGUUGGUGGGGUAAUGGCCUACCAAGGCGGCGACGGGUAGCCGGCCUGGGAGGGUGGACGGCCACAUUGGGACUGAGAUACGGCCCAGACGCCUACGGGAGGAAGCAGUGGGGAAUAUUGCACAAUGGGCGCAAGCCUGAUGCAGCGACGCCGCGUGGGGGAUGACGGCCUUCGGGUUGUAAACUCCUUUCGCUAGGGACGAAGCUUUUUGUGACGGUACCUAGAAAAGAAGCACCGGCUAACUACGUG